GGAUGCGAUCAUACCAGCACUAAAGCACCGGAUCCCAUCAAAACUCCGAAGUUAAGCGUGCUUGGGCGAGAGUAGUACUAGGAUGGGUGACCUCCUGGGAAGUCCUCGUGUUGCACUCC
rnacentral:rRNA from 1 species